AUUGAACGCUGGCGGCAUGGCUAAAACAUGCAAGUCGAACGCGAAUGAGGGGCAACCCUCUAGUAGAGUGGCGAAAGGGCGAGUAAUGCGUUUCUAAUGUACCUCGGACUCGGGGAUAGCUCACCGAAAGGUGAAUUAAUACUCGAUGAUACUGCUGGGCCGUAUGGCCUGGUUGUCAAAGGCUUGCUGGUCUGAGAUCAGGGAACGUCCUAUCAGGUAGUUGGUAAGGUAACGGCUUACCAAGCCUAAGACGGGUAGCGGGUGUGAGAGCACGGCCCGCCGCAUCGGGACUGAGACACUGCCCGGAUCCUACGGGAGGCUGCAGUAACGAUAUUCGGCAAUGCACGAAAGUGUGACCGAGCGAUGCCGCGUGCAGGAUGAAGCCUGCCGCUAGCGUUCAUCCUGAGCCAGGAUCAAACUCU
rnacentral:rRNA from 1 species